GUGAUGAAAAGAAUAUUCUUGACCAAAAGAAUAUUCUACACUGUAGAACAUAAUUUUCAGCAAUAAAAUUGGGGAAAUAGUAAUUCCAAAACAGCUGUUGUUCAGAAGGUGGGUAUUGAUCUACCUCUGGGAGAAGCUUGAUUCUCAUCAAAGACACUGUCUGCUUGGCAAGGAAAUAACUCAAGGAGACAUGCAAAGAAAGGAUUUGUAUCAGUGACAUGUUUCUACCCACUAAGAGUGAGCAUUGCAAGAUGAUCUGGUCAUUCGUGAACCACUUGGCUUUAUGCUGUAAACAAAAAUUUAACCGUUGAAUCACAAAAACUGCCUGCAUCAUAAAACUAGUGUCUUCUACUGAUAUUUUUGUGAAUGUAUAUAUGCUUGACUUCACAGUCUUAUCACCUCAGAAAAAACAAACAGGCUAUUUAUCUGUGGUUUUGAGUUUAGUGAGCCUGUAACUCAUAUGUCCUAGUGGAUAAAUUGCACGUGGGUCAUCUGUGCAUCCUUGCACCAAAGAAAGCAAUAUACAUCUUGGUCUACACUAGUGAUAGUGUCACCAGCAGGAUGAGGGUCAUACUUCCCUUCUGUUUAGUAUAUCUGAAGUGUUAUGUCCAGUUUUGUGCCUCCCAGUAACAAGAAUUUUUUACAAGCUGGAUCAAGUCAAAUGGAGGCCAUCAGGACAGUCAGGUUUGGAGCACAUUCUACAAUGAGAAACUGAGGGAUCAGCCUUCAACCUUGCCUUCAGAAGCUUUGUUACCAUCUACAACUACCUUGUCAGAGGACACAGAGAAGAUAGAGCCAGAUUUCUGAGAGCUGCACAGCAAUAGAACAAAAAUUAACAGACACAGGGUGGCAUGUGGGAAAUUCUACUCAGAUAAAGGAAAAUGUAAGCAAAAAUGAAUGUUUGGGCUUUUUUUUGUUUUGUUUUGGUUUGUUGUUUUUUUUUUCCCCUCAUAAGCAUAGUCAAGCUCUGGAACAUGUUGCCCAGAGAGACUGUGAGAUCUCUGUCCUUGGAGAUGUUUAAGAUGUUACUGAACAUGGCCCUCAACAGCCUUAUCUGACCAGACAUGCUCUGAGCAGUGGAUUGGACUAAUUGAUUUCUGAAGUUCCCAUCCAACCUAUUUUUUUCUAAUUCCAUGAUAC